rnacentral:rRNA from 1 species
CUACGGGUUGCAGCAGUGGGGGAUAUUGCACAAUGGGCGAAAGCCUGAUGCAGCAACGCCGCGUGAAGGAAGACGGUUUUCGGAUUGUAAACUUCUAUCAGCAGGGAAGAAAAUGACUGUACCUGACUAAGAAGCCCCGGCUAACUACGUGCCAGCAGCCGCGGUAAUACGUAGGGGGCAAGCGUUAUCCGGAUUUACUGGGUGUAAAGGGUACGUAGGCGGUUUAUUAAGUCAGAUGUGAAAGCCCGGGGCUCAACCCCGGGACUGCAUUUGAAACUGGUGAACUAGAGUACAGGAGAGGUAAGUGGAAUUCCUAGUGUAGCGGUGAAAUGCGUAGAUAUUAGGAAGAACACCAGUGGCGAAGGCGGCUUACUGGACUGUAACUGACGCUGAGGUACGAAAGCGUGGGGAGCGAACAGGAUUAGAUACCCUAGUAGUC